rnacentral:SRP_RNA from 1 species
CCCCUGUAGUCUCAGCUAGUGGGGAGGUGGGAGGAUCACUUGAGCCCAGGAGUUCUGGGCUGUAGUGUGCAGUGCUGAUAGCAGGUGUCUGCACUAACUUCGGUAUCAAUAUGGUGACCUCCCUGGAGCAGAGGACCACCAGAGUGCCCAAAGAGAGGUGAACUAGCCCAGUCUAGAAACUGAGCAGGUCAUAACUUUCAUCUUAUCAGUAGUGGGGAUCCCUGUGAAUAGCCGCUAUAUUCCAGCUUGGGCAAAAUAGCAAGACCCUGUCUCU